GACAGAGGUUGCAAACGUUGUUCGGAAUCACUGGGCAUAAAGCGCACGUAGGCGGUCUGUUAAGUCAGGUGUGAAAGCCCCCGGCUCAACCCGGGGAAUUGCAUUUGAUACUGGCAGGCUCGAGAACGGUAGGGGUGAGUGGAACUCCAGGUGGAGCGGUGAAAUGCGUAGAUAUCUGAAGGAACACCGGUGGCGAAAGCGGCUCACUGGACCGUCACUGACGCUGAGGUGCGAAAGCUAGGGUAGCAAACGGG
rnacentral:rRNA from 1 species